ensembl:lncRNA
CCUCACACACACACACACACACACACACAGACAGACGGACGGACGGUGAAGGAAUGCCAGAUAGCCGAGAGACACAGCCCUAUGUGCUGAAGGACAUGAUGGGACCUCGUCAUCUUUCUCUGAUCCAGGAGGAGUCAGGCAGUAGAGAAAGGGCUCCGUUACACUGAAAACAAAUCUGAAUGGAACCAGAGCCUGGAAGUCAACAUCUUUGUUUACUGAGUGCACGGUUGUGUGUGUGUGUGUGUGUGUGUGUGUGUGUGUGUGUGUGUGUGUGUGUGUGUGUGUGUGUGUGUGUGUGUGUGUGUGUGUGUGUGUGUGUGUGUGUGUGCGUGCGUGCAUGUGUGUCUAUGUGUGCGUGCAUGUGUGUGUGGGUGUGUGUGUGUUUGUUCAAUAUAAUUCCAUUCCAUUCAAUUCAAGAGAUUUAUUGGCGUGGAACUAUACAUUGAAUUUUUCAAAGCAGUUAAAAUAAAUGAACAAAGGCGAAAAACAAAAGCCGACUUGGAAAAUAUAGAAAUGUAAAUACAUUAAAAAAGAAGAGAAAAUCGAAUACAAAGAAACAAUGAAGUAGAAUAUAAAUACUAUACAAAUGUGUAUAAAUUCUACAUAAGAUAAAUUGUUCCCUCCCUCUCUCUUUCUUUCUGUCUCUCCCUCUCUCCCACUCCCUCUCUCUCUCUCUCUCUCUCUCUCUCUCUCUCUCUCCCUCCCUCCAUCCAUCGCCCUACCCCCCCCUCUCUCUCUCCCUCUCUCUCUCUCCCUCUCUUCCACCUCCUACCUCCCUCCUCCCCCCUCUCUCUCUCUCUCUCUCUCUCUCUCUC